GAUGAAAACGUAGCGAAAUGCGAUACUUGGUGUGAAUUGCAGAAUCCCGUGAACCAUCGAGUCUUUGAACGCAAGUUGCGCCCGAAGCCACUAGGCCGAGGGCACGCCUGCCUGGGCGUCACACGUCGUUGCCCCCCCAUCUACUCCUUCGGGAUUGCGGGGGGCGGAUGAUGGCCUCUCGUGCGCCUCGUCGCGCGGUUGGCCUAAAUGCCAAGUCCUCGGCGACGCACGCCACGACAAUCGGUGGUUGCGAAACCUCGGUUGCCUGUCGUGUGCGGUCGUCGCGCAUCGAGGGCUCGAAAAAAUUGCCGGGCUUCGGCUCGACUUUCAACGCGACCCCAGGUCAGGCGGGGUUACCCGCUGAAUUUAAGCAUAUCAAUAAGCGGAGGA
rnacentral:misc_RNA from 1 species